GUGAAAUAUUGCGAAUACCUGGCGAAAUAAUCACCGUAAAACGUUUUCGCCUCCUCGGACAUCGAUCUUCUCAUCACCUCGAAAUGUUCAACUUGCCGUGUUAAUAUAUUGCUCUCAUUUACGAACGAACCUAAUGCGGAGAUAAUUCUUUUAUCAACGAACGAAAUUGCUGGUUUAAUUUCAAUGAAAAUCAUCCUUCGAUUACGGACCAGGGAUCAAGCAAACGACCUUGAUGCCAUACUUCUUCAACUCCAUCCUGAUAGCAGUGGCCCAAGCGUUGAGGGCAGCUUUUGUCCCACUGUAAGCUGCUACUCCCGGAAUCGGUUGGAUGUUACAGUGGCUCGAGAUUACGAUAAUCCGGGUGAAGUGGGCGCGAAUCAUCGGCAUCAGUUCUUGAGUGAUUCUCAUAGUGCCCAGUAAAUUCACUUCUACUUGAUUUCUAAGUUGCUCGUCCGUUUGCCAUUCGAAUUCGCCGAAGAUCAUUAUCGCCGCAUUAUUGAUCAAACACCCUCCGGGUCCAUCGAUUUGCAAUACACUAGCGAUUACAACUGCCCCAAGCUUCCGACAAUGCAGAGCCAGACUAUAUCCCAAUCCUGAAUCGCAACCAGUCACAAUAAUAGCAUGAUUUGAGAAUAUCUUAUCCCGAGAUUUAAAACAGCAAUAUAAGUAAGUAGCACCUGAAAAAUUAUUUUAAAUGUUUUCUUUUUUUUUUUGUUUUUCCAAAUAUCAUAUAAUAGCAUCGAUAAUUGAGAAUUUGAUGAUAAUAUUAUAUUCUUUAUUAAAUGUUUACAAUAUUUAAAUUGUUUAUCAGUUAAAUAUAUUAAACGAGAUUUAAUAACAGCACGUUGUAUUGAAUUAACUUUCCCGCUGACGACGCAUAUUGAUAAAUACAAUCUUACCGGUAAAUAGAUAAGGGAUAAUAAAAUUAGAAAGUAAAGUCAAGUAUUAUUCAUAUUUCAAAGAUAUAUCUGAUGUAAAUCUCAUCUUUAAUUUCUAUUAUGAUAUAAAAAUAUUAGUAAUAGAGUAUUCUUUUAUGAAAAUUAUACAUCAUUAGUAGUAAAAUAUAAUUGUUUAAAUUAUAAAAUUCUUACCGAAACCACAUAAAGAAAUCGUUGAUGCCAAAUAUUUGUAUCCCUUGUUCCACAAAUAAAAAAGAGCGAUCGAAGUUGUUAGAUCAGUUAUAAAUAUUGUGGAAUAUGUUUUAAUAUAGUUUAUAAAUCGCAUUUUAAAAUUAUCAGUCGUAAUUCACCCCAAAGAUAACACACUAAUCUUUCAACUUGUUGAUUGAAAAUUCUUCUACUUUUUAUUUAUAUAUACAAAAUCUUUUCCAAAAUAAAAAAAAAAAAA